AAUAGCAAAAUUGUUCUCCAGAUACCACCAAUAACAACAGAGCUGAYGUGCUGGCUGUUUAAUUCCAAUAAGCUUGUUUGAUCAAUGCCAUCUGCAGGCUUUCCGAAGACAGUAAUUUUGUUCUUUGGGGUCUUGAUUCUUCCAAAAUCCGUUUUCUACUUUACACAAUGAGUUUGGUUGCAUUGACUUUGAUGGGAGUA